UCACCAAGGCGACGAUCCCUAGCUGGUCUGAGAGGAUGACCAGCCACACUGGAACUGAGACACGGUCCAGACUCCUACGGGAGGCAGCAGUGGGGAAUAUUGCACAAUGGGCGCAAGCCUGAUGCAGCCAUGCCGCGUGUAUGAAGAAGGCCUUCGGGUUGUAAAGUACUUUCAGCGGGGAGGAAGGGAGUAAAGUUAAUACCUUUGCUCAUUGACGUUACCCGCAGAAGAAGCACCGGCUAACUCCGUGCCAGCAGCCGCGGUAAUACGGAGGGUGCAAGCGUUAAUCGGAAUUACUGGGCGUAAAGCGCACGCAGGCGGUUUGUUAAGUCAGAUGUGAAAUCCCCGGGCUCAACCUGGGAACUGCAUCUGAUACUGGCAAGCUUGAGUCUCGUAGAGGGGGGUAGAAUUCCAGGUGUAGCGGUGAAAUGCGUAGAGAUCUGGAGGAA
rnacentral:rRNA from 1 species